UACGGAGGGGGCAAGCGUUGUUCGGAAUCAUUGGGCGUAAAGGGCGCGUAGGCGGCUUGGCAAGUCAAAGGUGAAAUCCCUCGGCCUAACCGAGGAACUGCCUUUGAUACUGCUUGGCUUGAGGCCGGGAGAGGGUAGCGGAAUUCCCAGUGUAGCGGUGAAAUGCGUAGAUAUUGGGAGGAACACCGGUGGCGAAGGCGGCUACCUGGACCGGUUCUGACGCUGAGGCGCGAAAGCGUGGGGAGCAAACAGG
rnacentral:rRNA from 1 species